GAUGAACGCUAGCGGUGUGCCUUAAGCAUGCAAGUCGAGCGGUCGCCUUUGGCGACAGCGGCGGACGGCUGAGUAACACGUAGGUAGCUACCCUUUAGUGGGGGAUAGCCUUGAGAAAUCAGGGAUAAUCCCGCAUAAUCCCCGUCUUUGGCGGGGGAAAGAGUUUAACUGCUCACUGAAGGAGGCGCCUGCGGCCUAUCAGCUUGUUGGUAGGGUAAUGGCCUACCAAGGCAAAGACAGGUAGGGGCGUGAGAGCGUGGCCCCCAGAAUGGGACUGAGACACGGCCCAUACACCUACGGGUGGCAGCAACUGGGAAUCUUGCGCUAUGGGCGAAAGCCUGACGCAGCGACACCGCGUGAAGGAUGAAGGCCUUCGGGUUGUAAACUUCUGUUAAAUAGCACCGGCUAACUACGUGCCAGCAGCCGCGGUAAGAGUGUGUGUA
rnacentral:rRNA from 1 species